rnacentral:tRNA from 1 species
GAGAGAUAGCGAAGUGGCUAAACGCGGCGGACUGUAAAUCCGCUCCUUCGGGUUCGGGGGUUCGAAUCCCUCUCUCUCC